ANUGCAGUCGAACGAACUUCCGUUAAUUGAUUAUGACGUACUUGUACUGAUUGAGAUUUUAACACGAAGUGAGUGGCGAACGGGUGAGUAACACGUGGGUAACCUGCCCAGAAGUAGGGGAUAACACCUGGAAACAGAUGCUAAUACCGUAUAACAGAGAAAACCGCAUGGUUUUCUUUUAAAAGAUGGCUCUGCUAUCACUUCUGGAUGGACCCGCGGCGUAUUAGCUAGUUGGUGAGGUAAAGGCUCACCAAGGCAGUGAUACGUAGCCGACCUGAGAGGGUAAUCGGCCACAUUGGGACUGAGACACGGCCCAGACUCCUACGGGAGGCAGCAGUAGGGAAUCUUCCACAAUGGACGCAAGUCUGAUGGAGCAACGCCGCGUGAGUGAAGAAGGGUUUCGGCUCGUAAAGCUCUGUUGUUAAAGAAGAACGUGGGUAAGAGUAACUGUUUACCCAGUGACGGUAUUUAACCAGAAAGCCACGGCUAACUACGUGCCAGCAGCCGCGGUAAUACGUAGGUGGCAAGCGUUAUCCGGAUUUAUUGGGCGUAAAGCGAGCGCAGGCGGUCUUUUAAGUCUAAUGUGAAAGCCUUCGGCUCAACCGAAGAAGUGCAUUGGAAACUGGGAGACUUGAGUGCAGAAGAGGACAGUGGAACUCCAUGUGUAGCGGUGAAAUGCGUAGAUAUAUGGAAGAACACCAGUGGCGAAGGCGGCUGUCUGGUCUGCAACUGACGCUGAGGCUCGAAAGCAUGGGUAGCGAACAGGAUUAGAUACCCUGGUAGUCCAUGCCGUAAACGAUGAUUACUAAGUGUUGGAGGGUUUCCGCCCUUCAGUGCUGCAGCUAACGCAUUAAGUAAUCCGCCUGGGGAGUACGACCGCAAGGUUGAAACUCAAAAGAAUUGACGGGGGCCCGCACAAGCGGUGGAGCAUGUGGUUUAAUUCGAAGCUACGCGAAGAACCUUACCAGGUCUUGACAUCUUCUGACAGUCUAAGAGAUUAGAGGUUCCCUUCGGGGACAGAAUGACAGGUGGUGCAUGGUUGUCGUCAGCUCGUGUCGUGAGAUGUUGGGUUAAGUCCCGCAACGAGCGCAACCCUUAUUACUAGUUGCCAGCAUUAAGUUGGGCACUCUARUGAGACUGCCGGUGACAAACCGGAGGAAGNGGGG
rnacentral:rRNA from 1 species